rnacentral:tRNA from 1 species
AUUUAUAUAGUAUAACAGUACAGUUAACUUCCAAUUAAAAAGUCUAAUUAUUUUAGUAUAAAUA